UACGGAGGAUCCGAGCGUUAUCCGGAUUUAUUGGGUUUAAAGGGAGCGUAGGCGGGUUGUUAAGUCAGUUGUGAAAGUUUGCGGCUCAACCGUAAAAUUGCAGUUGAUACUGGCAUCCUUGAGUACAGUAGAGGUAGGCGGAAUUCGUGGUGUAGCGGUGAAAUGUUUAGAUAUCACGAAGAACUCCGAUUGCGAAGGCAGCCUGCUGGACUGUAACUGACGCUGAUGCUCGAAAGUGUGGGUAUCAAACAGG
rnacentral:rRNA from 1 species